UACGUAGGGGGCAAGCGUUGUCCGGAUUUAUUGGGCGUAAAGCGCGUGUAGGCGGCCCGGUAAGUCCGCUGUGAAAGUCGGGGGGCUCAACCCUCGGAUGCCGGUGGAUACUGUCGGGCUUGAGUGCGGAAGAGGCGAGUGGAAUUCCUGGUGUAGCGAUGAAAUGCGCAGAUAAUCUGGAGGAACACCGGUGGCGAAGGCGGCAUCCUGGACCGACACUGACGCUGAGGAGCGAAAGCCAGGGGAGCAAAACGGGG
rnacentral:rRNA from 1 species